rnacentral:rRNA from 1 species
AUGAACGCUGGCGGCGUGCUUAACACAUGCAAGUCGAACGGAACAUUUCGCCCGAAGAUUGAAGUAGCUUGCUAUGGAUUGACUCAACUGAAAUGUUAGUGGCGGACGGGUGAGUAACGCGUGGGUAACCUACCUUACACAGGGGGAUAACAGUUAGAAAUGACUGCUAAUACCGCAUAAGCGCACAGUAUCGCAUGAUACAGUGUGAAAAACUCCGGUGGUGUAAGAUGGACCCGCGUCUGAUUAGCUAGUUGGUGAGGUAACGGCCCACCAAGGCGACGAUCAGUAGCCGGCCUGAGAGGGUGAACGGCCACAUUGGAACUGAGACACGGUCCAAACUCCUACGGGAGGCAGCAGUGGGGAAUAUUGCACAAUGGGGGAAACCCUGAUGCAGCGACGCCCGCGUGAGUGAUGAAGUAUUUCGGUAUGUAAAGCUCUAUCAGCAGGGAAGAUCAUGACGGUACCUGACUAAGAAGCUCCGGCUAAAUACGUGCCAGCCGCUGC